rnacentral:RNase_P_RNA from 1 species
ACGGCGGAACUAGUCUAAAACUUCGGUCAUGAUAAUGUUCCCCAAGGUGCCACAGAGACGCAGUAAGCGGAAACGCGGAAAUGAAACGUUGGUAAACCCCACAAGCGAGAAACCCAAAUUUUGGUAGGGGAGAUCGAGCGAGAGAACCGAAUCUCAAUCGGUACGGCAACGCCGUAGAUAAAUUAUUAUCCUAGACAAAACAUGGCUUACAGGG